rnacentral:rRNA from 1 species
GCCGUAAACGAUGCAUACUAGUCUUAUGGGGUAUCGACCCCCUGUGAGACGCAGCUAACGCGAUAAGUAUGCCGCCUGGGAAGUACGGCCGCAAGGCUAAAACUCAAAGGAAUUGACGGGGACCCGCACAAGCAGAGGAUGAUGUGGUUUAAUAUGACGCUACGCGUAGAACCUUACCCAGGCUUGACAUCCUUGGAGCCCGCCGGAAACGGUGGGGUGCCCUCGGGAGCCAAGUGACAGGUGCUGCAUGGCCGUCGUCAGCUCGUGUCGUGAGAUGUUGGGUUAAGUCCCGCAACGAGCGCAACCCUUAUCGUAUGUUGUAUUUUUCAUGCGAGACUGCCCGGGCCAACCGGGAGGAAGGUGGGGAUGAAGUCAGGUCGGCAUGGCCCUUACGCCUGGGGCUACUCACGUCAUACAAUGGCCAGUACAACGCGCUGCGAUACCGCGAGGUGGAGCAAAUCGCAUCAAAACUGGUCUCAGUUCGGAUUGGAGGCUGCAACUCGCCUCCAUGAAUCGGAUUUGCUAAUAAACGUGGGUCAGCAUACCACGUUGAAUACUUCCCGGGUCUUGUACACACCGCCCGUCACGUCACGGAAUC